rnacentral:hammerhead_ribozyme from 1 species
GCACUGCUGACGAGUCCCGAACAGGACGAAACAGCUGUUUAGUGC